rnacentral:rRNA from 1 species
AGAAAUAGCCCAAUUUUGGACUGGCCUCAAAGGUACUGAAUCAUCAAAGGUGUGGCCUCGAGCUUGUUGUAUCUGCAUGACAAGUGGGAGCGGGUCGUUAUCCACCGAGAUAUAAAGGCAAGCAAUGUGCUAUUGGAUAGUAAGAUGAAUGGAAGGUUAGGUGAUUUUGGUCUUGCAAGGAUAUAUGACCAUGAAACCGCCGCUCCAGCCACCCAUGUGUCUGGCACAAUUGGAUAUCUGGCACCAGAACUCGGGCGCACAGGGAAACCAACACCCUUCACCAAUGUAUACGCAUUUGGCAUGUUUCUACUGUAA